rnacentral:rRNA from 1 species
AGAACGAACGCUGGCGGCAUGCCUAAUACAUGCAAGUCGAACGAACACUUCGGUGUUAGUGGCGCACGGGUGCGUAACGCGUGGGAAUCUGCCCUUGGGUUCGGAAUAACAGUUGGAAACGACUGCUAAUACCGGAUGAUAUCGAAAGAUCAAAGAUUUAUCGCCCAGGGAUGAGCCCGCGUAGGAUUAGCUAGUUGGUGAGGUAAGGCUCACAAGGCACGAUCCUUAGCUGGUCUGAGAGGAUGAUCAGCCAACACUGGGACUGAGACACGGCCCAGACUCCGUACGGGAGCAGCAGGUAGGGAAUACUUGGACAAGUGGGCGCAAGCCUGAUCCAGCAAUGCCGCGUGAGUGAUGAAGCCGUUAGGUGUAAAGCUUCUUUACCCGAAGAUGAAUAAUAGAC